UUCUUUUCUUUUCUUUCCUUUCCUUUCCUUUUCUUUCCUUUCCUUACCCACUUAACAAUUACAUUUAGAAUGGUGAUUUAGCUGCACUACCGACACUAUCUUCUAUACUGAGAAAUUUCCCUUCUUUCCAUGGGAAAGAGAGAGACAGAGUGCUAUUUUUUAAGUCGAUAAUAAAAUCAGAACUCUCUGUUUCUCCCUCCUCCUCACCUUGCCUAAACGAAUGUAGGGUGGAAAGCAAACAUGGCAGAGAGAGAAGGGAAAUUGCAAAUUCUAUGAACCAUAAUUCACUCUCUGUUCCUCUCUGUGCUCACUCUUUCUUCUUCGUCCCGCAUGCUUUUUUAGCAACCCACGAUAAUACCCACAUAUCAAUUAUGUAAGUCGUAUUUGCUACUUGUUUUCUUUGUAUUCCUUUUCAUGGUAUUUGGAUUGAAUCUUCUGUUUUCUGAAUUGGGAUUUCAUUAGUACUUUUUUUUUCUGGUUCGAUUUGAUUGUGGGUCAGCUUGAUUAACUACCCAGAUCAGUUUAUUCGGUUAAAAGUUGUUAUCUUUACCGCUAAAAUACAGUUAAUCUUACGUAUCUUUGGAAGAACUGAAGUGGGAUUCUACGGGAUCUAUGCUUCUUCAUCUAUGAUGAAGUGAAGGACCAAAGAUUAAGCUGGCUUGAAACUAAUCAAGGUCUCAGUUGGAUCUGAUUAUUUGCCAGCAGAAUAGUUUUCCACGUGUUGAUGCAUCAACUACAUAGAUCCACCGCUUGGAUGCAGGAAUUGCAAAUUCCUAAUGCUAAAAUUUUAUGAUGGACUCUAGAAGUUAUGUAGCUUAUUUCAUGGUAUGUACGUGCAACUUAGAUAGUACUGCCGUAUCUCCCUUGUAACAGAAUCUUUUUGAUAUUCUGAUGAAUUGCAUUAAUCUUCACUCUAUCUCGUGGUUCUACGUGCUCUGUUAAUAAUAGGAGGCAACUGUUAAUUUCGUUUCCCUACCUUCAAACAUUUUUCAGGCCCUUAUCUCUUUGAUCAUGUGAUGGAAACCCAAUAGCUUUUCCUUUCUUCUUCCAGAAUCAUUGUUAAAUGACUUUGUUUUCUUAAUCCAACUUUACUAAUAUGUUUAUCUCAUACCCAUUCCUAGUUCUUUUAUAUCUUCUAUGGUAGUGAUCAUUUUAUUCAUUUGAAUACAUUUUGCAUGAGUACUAUCAGCACCUGGAAUGCACUUGCAAUAUUCUUAUGAUGUUUUAAUUUAAUGCAGUGAUGUACAGCUAUGGGAACAUUGACAC
rnacentral:misc_RNA from 1 species